GCCUGAGUGGCUCAGUGUUUAAGCAUCAGGUCGUGAUCCUGGGGUCCUGGGAUCGAGUCCCACAUCAGGCU
rnacentral:tRNA from 1 species